GGGCGGUUAGCUCAGCUGGGAGAGCGGCAGGAUCACAACCUGUAGGCCGGGGGUUCGAACCCCUCACCGCCCA
rnacentral:tRNA from 1 species